ensembl:lncRNA
GUGCGUGCGUUCUAAGUCAUCUAGCUGUGACCCUGUUACUCCAUGGACUGUAGCACACCAGCUCUUCUGCCCAUGGGAUUCUCCAGGCAAGAAUACUGGAGUGAGUUGCCAUGCCCACCACCAGGGAAUCUUCCUGACCCAGGGAGAUUGCACUGUAGACCUCCUGUCUUACAGUAUGGAUAGAUUUAGGUGUCAACAAUCAAGUAAGAACAAGGAUACUUCCUUUCAGCUCCCAGUCAUUCCUCAGAAGGAGCAGAAGGAAUACUGACCAGAACCUCAUAAAUGAAGUUGUGUGAAAUGGACUCGAUGGGAGUAAGCCCUGUGUUUAAUCCUGCAAAGAAUCUCAGGCUUCAGCAAAAUGUGAACCGUCAAUGUCCAGAUGUUCAAGCUGGUUUUAGAAAAGGCAGAGGAACCAGAGAUCAAAUUGCCAACAUCUGCUGGAUCAUGGAAAAAGCAAGAGAGUUCCAGAAAAACAUCCAUUUCUGCUUUAUUGACCAUGCCAAAGCCUUGACUGCGUGGAUCACAAUAAACUGUGGGAAAUUCUGAAAGAGAUUGGAAUACCAGACCACCUGACCUGCC